GAAAUUGAAGAGUUGGCACCUUACUUGCAAAAGGUAUAUAGGAAGAAUAGACCCAGAGGGAAAAUGUAAGAAAAUAUCUAGCGGUGGGUGGAUUUUUCCUUUUUUUUCCCCCUGUCAUUGCAUUUGAAGAUCAAUUCUGCCUUGGAGGGCUCAAAAUUCUUUGUAUUCUUGCCGUGGUGAUAAUAAUCUAUGUUGCAGCUCAGCUUGUGCAGUCUAAGGACACAAGCAUCGGAAUUCUAUUAUGAUGGUGCCUGAUUUGGUGAUAGAGAAAAAAUGAAGAGGACAACUUGUACUGUUAAUAGAGGAAAAGAAAGUCUAACCUAGAGAUAAAAGUGGCAAUGCUCCAAAACUAAAGCACGUAUAUUAGUCAAGAUUCUGCAGAGAAAUAAAACCAAUAGGACAUAUAUACCUUUGAAGAGACUUCUUAUGAGGGGCUGGCUCACAUUAUUACAGAGGCUGAGAACUCCCAUGAUCUGCUGUCUGCAAACUGUAGGCCCAGAAAAAAAUGAUGGUGUUGUUCCAGUGUUAGUCUGAACACCUGAGAACAAGCGGAGCCAAUGGUAGAAGUCCCAGCCCAAGUACAAAAGCCUGAGAACCAGGGGUGCCCGCAUCUGAAGGAAGAUGAAGACUGAUAUCCCAGAUAAAGCUGCAAGCACCUUCUCCCUUCCUCCAUCUUUUUGUUCUAUUCAGGCCUUCAAUGGAUUGGAUCAUGCUCACUGAUGCCUUCAGAAGUGGAAUAUGAAGGAGACUUUCCAGUGACACCUGAAGCAUCUAGUGACCAAGUGAGAUAACUGCCAGGUUUAUUGUGUCCGUUGCUUUCUCACAGCAACUAAGUUCUUUUUUGGAUUCCAAAGCUUCAUGGAGUCUUGUUCUGUCGCUCAGGCCAGAGUGCAGUGGCACCAUCUCGGCUUGCUGCCUCCUGGGUUCACGGGAUUCUUCUGCCUUAGCCUCCCCAGUAGCUGGGACUUUAGGCAUGCACCAACACACGUGGCUAAUUUUUGUAUUUUUAGUAGAGAUGGGAUUUCACCAUAUUGGCCAGGGUGGUCUCAAACUUCUGACCUCAUGAUCCACCUUCCUCAGCCUCCCAAAGUGCUGGGAUUACAGGAGUGACCCACAGCACCCAGCCUAAGGUCGUACUAUUUUAAAUUAAGUAGUAUAUAAUAAUAAAAUACCCUAAGUGAGUUACAAUAUCAAAACAUUGAUAAACAUAAAGUUUAUCGACUUCAGCAUAUUAUUUUUAUGUUACAGAAAAACUUUGCUAAAUAUGUUAAUUAUGUAUUAUUUAUAAUAAACAUAUUUAUAUAUUAAAUAUUUAUUAAUAAAUAAGUAUUUGCUAAAUCUGUUAAUUUGG